UACGAAGGGGGCUAGCGUUGUUCGGAAUUACUGGGCGUAAAGCGCACGUAGGCGGAUAUUUAAGUCAGGGGUGAAAUCCCGGGGCUCAACCCCGGAACUGCCUUUGAUACUGGGUAUCUCGAGUCCGAGAGAGGUGAGUGGAAUUCCGAGUGUAGAGGUGAAAUUCGUAGAUAUUCGGAGGAACACCAGUGGCGAAGGCGGCUCACUGGCUCGGUACUGACGCUGAGGUGCGAAAGCGUGGGGAGCAAACGGG
rnacentral:rRNA from 1 species